GAUGAAGAACGCAGCGAAAUGCGAUAAGUAGUGUGAAUUGCAGAAUUCAGUGAAUCAUCGAAUCUUUGAACGCACAUUGCGCCCCUUGGUAUUCCAUGGGGCAUGCCUGUUCGAGCGUCAUUUGUACCUUCAAGCUUUGCUUGGUGUUGGGUGUUUGUCUCGCCUUUGCGUGUAGACUCGCCUUAAAAUAAUUGGCAGCCGGCGUAUUGAUUUCGGAGCGCAGUACAUCUCGCGCUUUGCACUCAUAACGACAGCGUCCAAAAGUACUUUUUACGCUCUUGACCUCGGAUCAGGUAGGGAUACCCGCUGAACUUAAGCAUAUCAAUAAGCGGAGGA
rnacentral:misc_RNA from 1 species